rnacentral:rRNA from 1 species
GGGCCUCCUUGUCAUUACGACAUAGUAAGCAAACGUACGGUGCCGCAGUCGUAGACUCACGGUCGGUAGCAAGUCUCUGCUGCUGGCCCUUCUGCGGUGGCCGCUUGGGGAGUUCACGAGUGCCAGCUGACUUGCUGGCGAACAAGCAGUCGCCCCGAACAGACUCUUGUUCAGCUCCUAGCUCGUGAACGAAAACGGCUCGCUGGAUCCUAGGCAAACGCUGAGCAGUUGUUGCAUCUAAUGUCCGUGGCUGCAAAUGAGGCGUUUGUGGUAGCCCCCGAAAGGGGAGGAGGAUUAAUGAGUACCGGAUCGGUGCCUCCAGCAAAAUCUUUUUCACUACAUUUUUUAACAAACAAAUACAUAUUAGUCUUGCCGGUGGAUCACUCGGCUCGUAGGUCGAUGAAGAUCGCAGCCAAAUGCGAUAGCUAGUGCGAACUGCAGAUAUUCUGAGCACUAAGGUGUCGAAUGUACAUUACGCCUUGGGAUUUACAUCCCUUGGCACGCCUGGUUCAGGGUCGUUUCUACCAAACACUGUUGACAACGUCAGUGUGUAAGGCCUGUGCAAUUGGAGUGCCGCGACAAGCGGCAAACCAGUGCCUGGCAUCGUUGAAAGCUUGCUGUGCCUGGGCCAGUUCCGGGGCAGUUGCCGGUCGUGCAAAAAUUUUGUCUGUGAAAAGACAGAGACUGGUGACUGUCUUGAGGCUGUCAGCCUCAAUGGGAAUCGUUAUUCCCGACCUGAACUCAGACGAGACUACCCCGCUUGAACUUAAGCAUAUAAU